rnacentral:lncRNA from 1 species
GUAGAUUCUGUNGAAUCGAACCAGUAUAAAAAUCCUUGUGUGCUUUUCUUAUGCCCUAUACUCAUUUUACUUUAACGCACAUCAACUGCUUGGUUAAUUUUCUGAAAGAAGAUUGUUUUUUAUGAAAAAGGUUAAAAUCGUUUCAACUGUGACCUAAUACGCUUUACGCUCUCUGUGUUAUUAAUCCGCUGCGCUAAACUCUUUAAAAUUUACCCCCUCCGAUACCAUCACGUCAUACCCCU